UACGGAGGGUGCAAGCGUUAUCCGGAUUCACUGGGUUUAAAGGGUGCGUAGGUGGGCAAGUAAGUCAGUGGUGAAAUCUCCGGGCUUAACCCGGAAACUGCCAUUGAUACUAUUUGUCUUGAAUACUGUGGAGGUCAGCGGAAUAUGUCAUGUAGCGGUGAAAUGCUUAGAUAUGACAUAGAACACCAAUUGCGAAGGCAGCUCGUUACACGAAUAUUGACACUCAGGCACGAAAGCGUGGGGAUCAAACAGG
rnacentral:rRNA from 1 species